rfam:Fukomys damarensis contig73907, whole genome shotgun sequence.
GGCUGUGAGGGCAAUCUGGCUACGACAUCCGUCACCCCAUGGGUCGCCAGGGCUGGUCUGGCUGAUCUGGCUGGCUAGGCGCGUGUCCCCUUCCUCCCUCACUACUCCGUGUGUGUCCCUCGAAAGCCGUGAGCUCCGUCCAAGAGGAUGACCACCCUCGACCCUCCCCUCAGUCUAGGCUUUACGAGUAGCUGCUCUCCCCAGCUAGAACCUCCGAACAAGCUCUCAAGGUCCCAAAUUCAGUUUUGGGUGAAACUAUGAGCAGCCCUCCAACCUUAUCAUUCCGUCCGUGGAGCUGGGUCUCUGC